rnacentral:misc_RNA from 1 species
AAUGCUAAUGUGAUCUGGGUGCUAAAAAGAACUAUUGCCAUGCAGUGUUAGCAGUCAUAGGAACAAUAUGAUUGGGUAACAGACUCAUUGGGCUUGUCUAGAUCUGGCAUAUGAUUUGGCAGUAUGACUGCCCAUGUCCACUACAGCAUGACUGCAUUUUCUAACCAUUCAUUUAGUAUGCUCUUGAAAUGAUGACUUGGUAAAAAAUCUUAUAUAUUGACCCUUUAAAAUGGACAUCUAUUAUGAAACAUUUCAUGGGGAAGGACUCUUUCAUUGGCAAGGGAGUUUUAAAAAAUUGAGGCAAGAUGAUAAUACAUUUAUAUAGGAUAUUGAUGAAGAU